rnacentral:rRNA from 1 species
GGUUGACCUCGGAUCAGGUAGGGAUACCCGCUGAACUUAAGCUU